CCUACGGGCGGCAGCAGUAGGGAAUAUUGCUCAAUGGGGGAAACCCUGAAGCAGCAACGCCGCGUGGAGGAUGAAGGUUUUAUGAUUGUAAACUCCUUUUGUUAGAGGAGAUUAUGACGGUAUCUAACGAAUAAGCACUGUCUAAUUCCGUUCCAGCAGCCGCGGUAAUACGGAGGGUGCAAGCGUUACUCGGAAUCACUGGGCGUAAAGAGUGCGUAGUCGGGGUAAUAGGUCAGAUGUGAAAUCCUGUAGCUUAACUUCAGAACUGCAUUUGAAACUGUUACUCUGGAGUGUGGGAGGGGUAGGGGGAAGCCUUGGGGUAGGGGUAAAAUCUG
rnacentral:rRNA from 1 species